rnacentral:tRNA from 7 species
GCCCACUUAGCUUAGAGGUUAGAGGCUUAGAGCAUCGCAUGUGUAACGCGAGGGUCAUCGGUUCAAAUUUGAUAGUCGGUU